rnacentral:rRNA from 1 species
GGGUUGUGAGGUUAAGUGACUAAGCGUACACGGUGGAUGCCUAGGCAGUCAGAGGCGAUGAAGGGCGUGCUAAUCUGCGAAAAGCGUCGGUAAGGUGAUAUNNNNNNNNNNUAUCAUGUCAUGAAUACAUAGUGGCAUGAGGCGAACCGGGGGAACUGAAACAUCUAAGUACCCCGAGGAAAAGAAAUCAACCGAGAUUCCCCCAGUAGCGGCGAGCGAACGGGGAGGAGCCCAGAACCUGAAUCGGCUUGUGUGUUAGUGGAAGCGUCUGGAAAGUCGCGCAGCAAAGGGUGAUAGCCCCGUACACUAAAAUGCACAGGUCGUGAGUUCGAUGAGUAGGGCGGGACACGUGACAUCCUGUCUGAAUAUGGGGGGACCAUCCUCCAAGGCUAAAUACUCCUGACUGACCGAUAGUGAACCAGUACCGUGAGGGAAAGGCGAAAAGAACCCCGGCGAGGGGAGUGAAAUAGAACCUGAAACCGUGUACGUACAAGCAGUGGGAGCACCUUCGUGGUGUGACUGCGUACCUUUUGUAUAAUGGGUCAGCGACUUAUAUUUUGUAGCAAGGUUAACCGUAUAGGGGAGCCGUAGGGAAACCGAGUCUUAACUGGGCGAAUAGUUGCAAGGUAUAGACCCGAAACCCGGUGAUCUAGCCAUGGGCAGGUUGAAGGUUGGGUAACACUAACUGGAGGACCGAACCGACUAAUGUUGAAAAAUUAGCGGAUGACUUGUGGCUGGGGGUGAAAGGCCAAUCAAACCGGGAGAUAGCUGGUUCUCCCCGAAAGCUAUUUAGGUAGCGCCUCGUGAACUCAUCUUCGGGGGUAGAGCACUGUUUCGGCUAGGGGGCCAUCCCGGCUUACCAAACCGAUGCAAACUCCGAAUACCGAAGAAUGUUAUCACGGGAGACACACGGCGGGUGCUAACGUCCGUCGUGAAGAGGGAAACAACCCAGACCGCCAGCUAAGGUCCCAAAGUCAUGGUUAAGUGGGAAACGAUGUGGGAAGGCAUAGACAGCCAGGAUGUUGGCUUAGAAGCAGCCAUCAUUUAAAGAAAGCGUAAUAGCUCACUGGUCGAGUCGGCCUGCGCGGAAGAUGUAACGGGGCUAAACCAUGCACCGAAGCUGCGGCAGCGACGCUUAGGCGUUGUUGGGUAGGGGAGCGUUCUGUAAGCCGUUGAAGGUGGCCUGUGAGGGUUGCUGGAGGUAUCAGAAGUGCGAAUGCUGACAUAAGUAACGAUAAAGCGGGUGAAAAGCCCGCUCGCCGGAAGACCAAGGGUUCCUGUCCAACGUUAAUCGGGGCAGGGUGAGUCGACCCCUAAGGCGAGGCUGAAAAGCGUAGUCGAUGGGAAACAGGUUAAUAUUCCUGUACUUGGUGUUACUGCGAAGGGGGGACGGAGAAGGCUAGGCUAGCCGGGCGACGGUUGUCCCGGUUUAAGCGUGUAGGGGGUGUGACCUGGUAAAUCCGGUUGCAUGCUAACCCUGAGGCGUGAUGACGAUGCACUACGGUGCAGAAGUAGUUGAUGCCCUGCUUCCAGGAAAAUCCUCUAAGCUCCAGGUAACAUUAAAUCGUACCCCAAACCGACACAGGUGGUCAGGUAGAGAAUACCAAGGCGCUUGAGAGAACUCGGGUGAAGGAACUAGGCAAAAUGGUGCCGUAACUUCGGGAGAAGGCACGCUGGCAUGUAGGUGAAGUCCCUUGCGGAUGGAGCUGAAGCCAGUCGAAGAUACCAGCUGGCUGCAACUGUUUAAUAAAAACACAGCACUGUGCAAACACGAAAGUGGACGUAUACGGUGUGACGCCUGCCCGGUGCUGGAAGGUUAAUUGAUGGGGUCAGCCGCAAGGCGAAGCUCUUGAUCGAAGCCCCAGUAAACGGCGGCCGUAACUAUAACGGUCCUAAGGUAGCGAAAUUCCUUGUCGGGUAAGUUCCGACCUGCACGAAUGGCGUAAUGAUGGCCAGGCUGUCUCCACCCGAGACUCAGUGAAAUUGAACUCGCUGUGAAGAUGCAGUGUACCCGCGGCAAGACGGAAAGACCCCGUGAACCUUUACUAUAGCUUGACACUGAACAUUGAGCCUUGAUGUGUAGGAUAGGUGGGAGGCUUUGAAGCGUGGACGCCAGUCUGCGUGGAGCCAUCCUUGAAAUACCACCCUUUAAUGUUUGAUGUUCUAACUCGGCCCCAUAAUCUGGGGUGAGGACAGUGUCUGGUGGGUAGUUUGACUGGGGCGGUCUCCUCCCAAAGAGUAACGGAGGAGCACGAAGGUUAGCUAAUCACGGUCGGACAUCGUGAGGUUAGUGCAAAGGCAUAAGCUAGCUUGACUGCGAGAGUGACGGCUCGAGCAGGUACGAAAGUAGGUCUUAGUGAUCCGGUGGUUCUGAAUGGAAGGGCCAUCGCUCAACGGAUAAAAGGUACUCCGGGGAUAACAGGCUGAUACCGCCCAAGAGUUCAUAUCGACGGCGGUGUUUGGCACCUCGAUGUCGGCUCAUCACAUCCUGGGGCUGAAGUAGGUCCCAAGGGUAUGGCUGUUCGCCAUUUAAAGUGGUACGCGAGCUGGGUUUAGAACGUCGUGAGACAGUUCGGUCCCUAUCUGCCGUGGGCGUUGGAAGAUUGAGAGGGGUUGCUCCUAGUACGAGAGGACCGGAGUGAACGCACCACUGGUGUUCGGGUUGUCAUGCCAAUGGCAUUGCCCGGUAGCUAAGUGCGGAAAAGAUAAGCGCUGAAAGCAUCUAAGCGCGAAACUUGCCUCAAGAUGAGUCUUCCCUGGGCCUUCAAGGCCCCUGAAGGAACGUUUAAGACUAAGACGUUGAUAGGCUGGGUGUGUAAGUGCAGCGAUGCAUUGAGCUAACCAGUACUAAUGAUCCGUGAGGCUUAACCUUACAACACCGAAGGUGUUU